GACAGAGGGGGCAAGCGUUGCUCGGAAUCACUGGGCGUAAAGGGCGCGUAGGCGGGAUGGCAAGUCGGUCGUGAAAUCCUUCGGCUCAACCGAAGAACGUCGGCCGAUACUGCCGUUCUUGAGGGAUGCAGAGGAGACUGGAAUUCCCGGUGUAGCGGUGAAAUGUGUAGAGAUCGGGAGGAACACCGGUGGCGAAGGCGGGUCUCUGGGCAUCUCCUGACGCUGAGGCACGAAAGCGUGGGGAGCAAACAGG
rnacentral:rRNA from 1 species